AAGAGAAUAAAUAGCGUGACCAUAAAUACAGAAAACACACAAAGACUCUUCAGCUGCAAACAACAGCUUCCUUGGUAGUGUAUGCAGCCUGUUUCUUGUAUGGGCUGCUCUAAGACAGGCCAUUCAGAUGUUU
ensembl:snoRNA SNORA70 Small nucleolar RNA SNORA70